ensembl:lncRNA
GUGAGUGGUCGGGAAAGCGUAUCGCGUUUGCUUCUCAGUGAGGGUUUAACCUCCCAAGAGACAGCACCCAUGGCUCGGAUUCAAUUAUGUAAUUAUACCGCGACGUGUCGGAAACGUCAAAUUAAACUGAAGUACUUUUAGCUGACUGGACAAUUUCGGCGUUGGUUCACAGUUAAACUCGACUCGGUUCACUGUGAGGGACGUGGGACUUGAAUCCCCCACCGUGAAAUAAAAGCCUCCUGCGGGGUGUGAUUAAGGAAGCCCGGCGGGAGUACGGGGCAGAUGGCUCACGCGCAACCUCCAACCCGAAUUCGCCCGCUGCUUUCUGAGCUUCUCACACCUGCGAGGGCCGCUUUAUUUACUUGGAAAGGAUUCUUCUGCAUGUUUUAUAUAAUGGAGCAUGUUAUUUUCCUAAAUGUCCAUGGGAACAGCUGACUAAAGUUUGACAGCUAUCAGUUUUCCAUUUGUAAGACUUACACGGAGGAAGCCGUCCAAUUGUCCUGGAUUGAGCCCUUCCCAGUGUUGAUCGACCCACAAAUUAUCUGCUGAUGAGCACAUCUGAAGGUACGUUUAUCUGUAUUUGGACUCUUGCUUUAGUUCUGUGCGCCUCUAUUGUAUUUAAACCGAAGCGCUCUUCGUUUCGUUAGAUCUUUGCUGAACAAUAAUAUUAUCACGUUGAAUGUCAAUCAAUAUGUAUUUGUGUGCAUGUUAUAAUUGCAGUCCUGCAAGAAGGCUCUAUUGACUCACAAUGCCUGACUGAACCUGACUGGUCAUAGAAAGUGAUGAGAAGGCAGAAAGACGAUGCAAAAGAGCUGCUGAAUGAGCCCAUUUUUAGUAUUCAAUAUUAGCAUGAAUCUGUUGUUGUAUUUCUUUAACACAAUCUGAACCUCAUGAGUACCAAUGUAGGAAUAUUUGAUUAGAGCAUGUAAGCCCGUAUGCCGAUGUAGCAAUGACUUUAAGAACACACAAUUAUGCCCUGCUGUCAUUUUGUAGAAAUGUAAAUGCAACACAAGUAAAAGCUUAAAUGCUGCUGGACAUGCACGACACCCUCUAGACGACGUGACCUUGUAGCGCUACAUGUACCAGAGUGAGAGGCGAAUGUUUG